GCAUGAUGACGAAACAAUUUUGCACGUCAGUUUGAAUUAGCAAAUGUGAAGAUGAAAUUGACACAGCUAUUUUAUGGGCUGUCCUGAUCU